GGAGCUGGAAAUAGGAUUGUUCGCACCAUCGGUUAGGAAUCCCAUCAAGUAUCGUAGUAACCAGUUGAACGACGUGAGAUGAUACCAACGAUGGCGUAACCCUUUUCAAGACUCAACUAAAGGACAUGAGGCAUUGGUUCUUAUUGUCAGGCACGUCCCUUUAUUCCUCCGAGGAGAAAUCUGAUUCUCGGAGGAUCACCAUGAAAAUGAGAUCCUCUUUGUCAUUUUGUUAUCCAUCUUCUGGAGUUGGACUUGCAU